rnacentral:rRNA from 1 species
UAACAAGGAUGCCCCUAGUAACUGCGAGUGAAGCGGGAAGAGCUCAAAUUUAAAAUCUGACAGUCUUCUGGCUGUCCGAGUUGUAAUCUGGAGAAGYGUUUUCUGUGUUAGACCGUGUACAAGUCUCCUGGAACGGAGCGUCAUAGAGGGUGAGAAUCCCGUCCAUGACACGGACUACUAAUACUUUGUGAUACGCUCUCGAAGAGUCGAGUUGUUUGGGAAUGCAGCUCAAAAUGGGUGGUAAAUUCCAUCUAAAGCUAAAUACAGGCGAGAGACCGAUAGCGAACAAGUACCGUGAGGGAAAGAUGAAAAGCACUUUGGAAAGAGAGUUAAACAGUACGUGAAAUUGUUGAAAGGGAAACGCUUGAAGUCAGUCGCGUUGUGCAGAACUCAGCCUUGCCUCAGCUUGGUGUACUUUCUGCACAACGGGUCAACAUCAAUUUUGGCCCAUGGAGAAAGGUGGGGGGAAUGUAGCGCUGUUUCGGCAGCGUGUUAUAGCCCUCUAUGGUAUACAUGGGUUGGGAUUGAGGAUUGCAGCACGCCCUUGUGGCCGGGGGUUCGCCCUACGUACCGUGCUUAGGAUGUUGGCAGAAUGGCUUUAAGCGACCCGUCUUGAAACACGGACCAAGGAGUCUAACAUGCUUGCGAGUGUUCGGGUGGAAAACCCUUGUGCGUAAUGAAAGUGAAAGUUGGGAACCUCCGUAAGGGGGUGCACCGACGCCCGGCCCUGACGUUCUCUGACGGUGCUGCGGUAGAGCAAGUAUGCUAGGACCCGAAAGAUGGUGAACUAUGCCUGAAUAGGGCGAAGCCAGAGGAAACUCUGGUGGAGGCUCGUAGCGAUUCUGACGUGCAAAUCGAUCGUCAAAUUUGGG